AAGUCGUAACAAGGUCUCCGUUGGUGAACCAGCGGAGGGAUCAUUACCGAGUUUACAACUCCCAAACCCCUGUGAACAUACCUAACGUUGCUUCGGCGGACCACCCCAACCCCUUCGGGGCGCGGGGCCCGCCAGAGGACACCCAAAAUUCAAAUGUAUUUUGCCUUUACAAAUUUAUUCUGAGUGGAAUUUUUAAAUAAAUCAAAACUUUCAACAACGGAUCUCUUGGCUCUG
rnacentral:misc_RNA from 1 species